UUUUAAUUUGCAAGAUAGAAUUGCAUUCAUGCAUUUCAAAAUUCAUCUAAGAUUUGGUUUCAUCUUUGCAGUACCCCGUAAAACUGGUCUCUAUGAGAUCUAACAGCAAGAUUCAUAGUUGAGAAAUAAAUUUGAAGAGACACAGAAGGGCAGAGACACUAAAAGCUGCUGGAAUGAAUACAAUUCUGAGGAAGACAACACACCUCUGAUCAGUUUUGAUUUCUUUUUCUCCUUACCCCGUUCUCUUCCUCCUUCCCCAAAUGCCUUUCCUCAUCCCUAACAUGUCCAAACCCCCAUUUCCUAUCAUCUUUCCUUGAUUUUGCCUGUGUGUUUGUCAUAAGUUACUUUUAUCACUUUAAGGUAAGGUCUUUAUAUACAUAUUUAUUUUGUCAGCUUUUUAAAAAUCCCAAAUAGGUGUUGGAUUUUCUCAAAAGUUUUUUCCCCCACAUCUAUUGAGGUGAUCAUGUGAUUUUCAACCUUACAUUAAUUUAUGUAAUGUAUUGUAUUUAUCUUUUUAUGUAUAUUGUACCAUUCUUGCAUACUUGGGAUGAGGCCGACUUGGUCAGGAUGUUUGACCUUUUGAAUGAUUUGUUGUAGCCUGUCGAGGAUUUGUGUAUCCAGGUCCAUUAAAGACAUUGACCUGUCGUUUUCUUUUUUUGUUGAGUCCUUUUCUGAUUUUGGUGUGAGGGUAAUUUGGCUUUGACGAAUGAGUUUGGCAGUAUUCCUUCCCUUUCAAUUUCAUGGCAGAGUUUGAGAAAUAUUAGGUUAAUUUAUUCUUUGAAUUUCUGGUAAAAUUCAAUAGUGAAACAUUUGGGUCCUGGGGUUUUCUUGGUAAAGUUUAUAUGGCUGCCUCAAUUUAAUUGCCAUUUUUUUUCUCAAGAUUCAUGCAUUUUUGUGUUGACUGUUGUAGAUCAGUUGGUUUAGAAAGCCCUGUCACUACAGUAGAGAUAUUUUUAUCAAAUGAACUUCUUGUUAUGUGCUUUGGGUGUGAUUCACUUCACAUCUGUUGAACUUUUUCAAAUUACAAGGAUUGGUUCCUGGCACUGAAUUGCAAGGAGAGAACAACCACUGGUAAUAUCAAUAACCAAAGAACAAAUCAUUUAUUAUUAUUCAAUUCAAAGCUUGUUUGGCAAGUUUUCUACUCUUUCAAUAAUCCAGGAAUACAAAGGAUAAGUAAUGGUAGAAAAAGUGCUGGAAGGUAAAAAAAAGAUAAAAGAAAAAAAAAGAAUUUAGAAAUAAAUGACAGAAGAAAAAUGGACAAAACAG
rnacentral:lncRNA from 1 species